rnacentral:rRNA from 1 species
GACGAACGCUGGCGGCGUGCUUAACACAUGCAAGUCGAACGGAAAGGCCCUGCUUUUGUGGGGUGCUCGAGUGGCGAACGGGUGAGUAACACGUGAGUAACCUGCCCUUGACUUUGGGAUAACUUCAGGAAACUGGGGCUAAUACCGGAUAGGAGCUCCUGCUGCAUGGGGGGGGUUGGAAAGUUUCGGCGGUUGGGGAUGGACUCGCGGCUUAUCAGCUUGUUGGUGGGGUAGUGGCGUACCAAGGCUUUGACGGGUAGCCGGCCUGGGAGGGUGACCGGCCACCUUGGGACUGAGAGACGGCCCAGACUCCUACGGGCGGCAGCAGUGGGAAAUCUUGCGCAAUGGGCGGAAGCCUGAUGCAGCAACGCCGCGUGCGGGAUGACGGCCUUCGGGUUGUAAACCGCUUUCGCCUGUGCCGAAGCGUGAGUGACGGUACUGGGUAAAGAAGCACCGGCUAACUACGUG